rnacentral:rRNA from 1 species
GUGCCAGCAGCCGCGGUAAUACGAAGGGGGCUAGCGUUACUCGGAAUUACUGGGCGUAAAGCGUGCGUAGGUGGUUCGUUAAGUCUGUCGUGAAAGCCCCGGGCUCAACCUGGGAAUGGCGAUGGAUACUGGCGGGCUAGAGUGCGGUAGAGGAGAGUGGAAUUCCCGGUGUAGCAGUGAAAUGCGUAGAGAUCGGGAGGAACAUCAGUUGCGAAGGCGGCUCUCUGGACCAGCACUGACACUGAGGCACGAAAGCGUGGGGAGCAAACAGGAUUAGAUACACCUGUAGUCC